rnacentral:tRNA from 1 species
GCUGAGGUGGCGGAGCGGACAAUCGUAGUAGACUGUAAAUCUACCGGCCGAAAGGCCUACCCAGGUUCGAAUCCUGGCCUCAGCACCA